AAUCCCUUAGUUCAGUCGGCAGAGCGCCUACUCUAAACGACCAUCUUGUAGCUUGUGCAUACUAGUGGGAGGUCAUUGGUUCAAAUCCAAUAGGGACUG